rnacentral:rRNA from 1 species
AUUGAACGCUGGCGGCAGGCCUAACACAUGCAAGUCGAGCGGAGCGGCGGACGGGUGAGUAAUGCCUAGGAAUCUGCCUGGUAGUGGGGGAUAAGGUCGGGAAACGGGCGUUAAUACCGUAUACUAUCGGAUUAGCCUGGGCCGGAUUAGCUAGUUGUGGGGGUAAAGGCCUACCAAGGCAACGAUCCGUAACUGGUCUGAGAGGAUGAUCAGUCACACUGGAACUGAGACACGGUCCAGACUCCUACGGGAGGCAGCAGUGGGGAAUAUUGGACAAUGGGCGAAAGCCUGAUCCAGCCAUGCCGCGUGUGUGAAGAAGGUCUUCGGAUUGUAAAGCACUUUAAGUUGGGAGGCGUUACCAACAGAAUAAGCACCGGCUAACUUCGUGCCAGCAGCCGCGGUAAUUC